UUUGAUCCCCUGAAGAGUGAGUGAACAACGGGGAAUAAUGAAGUGAUCGACCAUAGGAACAUGUGUGGAACAUGUGUGGCGUGCAGGCUCUGUGCCAUGAUUUCACUGAAGCCAUACAGAGAUCCUAGAUGGGUGCUUUGUACAAUAAACCUCUAGGGGAAAGGCCAGCAUUCCUGCGUCUGGACUGAUAAAUCGGGCUCGUCCUGAGUAGGAGACUGGUGGAAUUCCUCUCAGCGUCCUCGUGCUAAUCUCUCAGCUCAGCUUCCUUUCUCUCAUCAUGUAAAUUAAUGGAGCUUCUCUUCGAGCAAGGAAGAAUUCUUCCUGGAUAGAGGAAGGAAACCAGGUUGGCAACCUCAGGAUUUCCUUUGGUUGGAUGAAGGAAGAAAUUUUCAGGCAUGAUGAGGCUUUGUUAGCAGGAGUCAACCUGCAGAAGUAUCCCAGCUGGCUGCCUGAGGCUGAAAUGAUUAAUAUCUCACAGCACAGGAUGUCAUACCAAAUUCUGCUCUUCUCUUUACACCAUCUUGACUUGGGUCUUCUUGUGCUUGCAGCAUAAAGCACGGUAGAUGAUACAACAUUACUUAAAUUAUGUUCAGGUUACAAUGCCUUAAUUGCAUUUUCCUUGGGAAACAAUAUCUACAACAUGCCAUUCCUAAUUCAUAGGGCAGUUCACUUUGGGGAAUGGCCACAAGGAAGGUCAUAUCUUUGAUGCAAAGAAAGAAGUCUAAUAUAGCAGACGCUUCAGACGUGCCCGGGUCACCUUCCAUCGGUCCACCUCUGAUUGAAGCCACGGCUGUGGUGGACAAGUUCAUGUGGGUUAAGUCUCAUCAUGCACCACCAGCAUCUCCUCUUUGGCACAUUCUGCCCCAGCACCUUCUCCCAGGUGGGUGCAGGUCGGGGUGUGAAGAUGUGAAUGCCCCAUAGGCAGUCCUCAUUGGAUGGUGAGAAGGAGCUAGAGGGAUGCUCCUGCCUCCAGUCUUUCAAGUGGAUGGUUUUGAGGAGACGUUCUCCACAAUCCUCCGAAGUCCCAGAGGACACGUCUCCAUUGAAUGCAGCGGUGCCCUCGAUAAUGCACUUCGUUUUGGCUUUUCCUUCUGCCGGUCUCUCACUCUCCUUGUCCCCUCACUCCUGCUUCCUGGGAUCACCUCCCAAAUAAACUACCUGGACCCGGGACCUUGCCCUAAGCUCUGCUUUUAGAAGAACCCACACUAAGAGAUCAAACAUUGAAAUUCUUUGUAUGUAAGUUGGAAUCUUGUCUAAUAAAUAGGCUGACUUUAUAUGAAUCUGCCCAAAAUAAAAUUUUUAUAUUUGAUAAUGAUACUCAUUUAAAAAAAAAAAUCAAACAGCGUUAUCUGGAAGGACUACACUAAAGCUG